GGUUAAGCGACUAAGCGUACACGGUGGAUGCCCUGGCAGUCAGAGGCGAUGAAGGACGUGCUAAUCUGCGAUAAGCGUCGGUAAGGUGAUAUGAACCGUUAUAACCGGCGAUUUCCGAAUGGGGAAACCCAGUGUGUUUCGACACACUAUCAUUAACUGAAUCCAUAGGUUAAUGAGGCGAACCGGGGGAACUGAAACAUCUAAGUACCCCGAGGAAAAGAAAUCAACCGAGAUUCCCCCAGUAGCGGCGAGCGAACGGGGAGCAGCCCAGAGCCUGAAUCAGUGUGUGUGUUAGUGGAAGCGUCUGGAAAGGCGCGCGAUACAGGGUGACAGCCCCGUACACAAAAAUGCACAUGCUGUGAGCUCGAUGAGUAGGGCGGGACACGUGGUAUCCUGUCUGAAUAUGGGGGGACCAUCCUCCAAGGCUAAAUACUCCUGACUGACCGAUAGUGAACCAGUACCGUGAGGGAAAGGCGAAAAGAACCCCGGCGAGGGGAGUGAAAAAGAACCUGAAACCGUGUACGUACAAGCAGUGGGAGCACGCUUAGGCGUGUGACUGCGUACCUUUUGUAUAAUGGGUCAGCGACUUAUAUUCUGUAGCAAGGUUAACCGAAUAGGGGAGCCGAAGGGAAACCGAGUCUUAACUGGGCGUUAAGUUGCAGGGUAUAGACCCGAAACCCGGUGAUCUAGCCAUGGGCAGGUUGAAGGUUGGGUAACACUAACUGGAGGACCGAACCGACUAAUGUUGAAAAAUUAGCGGAUGACUUGUGGCUGGGGGUGAAAGGCCAAUCAAACCGGGAGAUAGCUGGUUCUCCCCGAAAGCUAUUUAGGUAGCGCCUCGUGAACUCAUCUCCGGGGGUAGAGCACUGUUUCGGCAAGGGGGUCAUCCCGACUUACCAACCCGAUGCAAACUGCGAAUACCGGAGAAUGUUAUCACGGGAGACACACGGCGGGUGCUAACGUCCGUCGUGAAGAGGGAAACAACCCAGACCGCCAGCUAAGGUCCCAAAGUCAUGGUUAAGUGGGAAACGAUGUGGGAAGGCCCAGACAGCCAGGAUGUUGGCUUAGAAGCAGCCAUCAUUUAAAGAAAGCGUAAUAGCUCACUGGUCGAGUCGGCCUGCGCGGAAGAUGUAACGGGGCUAAACCAUGCACCGAAGCUGCGGCAGCGACGCUUAUGCGUUGUUGGGUAGGGGAGCGUUCUGUAAGCCUGUGAAGGUGUACUGUGAGGUAUGCUGGAGGUAUCAGAAGUGCGAAUGCUGACAUAAGUAACGAUAAAGCGGGUGAAAAGCCCGCUCGCCGGAAGACCAAGGGUUCCUGUCCAACGUUAAUCGGGGCAGGGUGAGUCGACCCCUAAGGCGAGGCCGAAAGGCGUAGUCGAUGGGAAACAGGUUAAUAUUCCUGUACUUGGUGUUACUGCGAAGGGGGGACGGAGAAGGCUAUGUUGGCCGGGCGACGGUUGUCCCGGUUUAAGCGUGUAGGCUGGUUUUCCAGGCAAAUCCGGAAAAUCAAGGCUGAGGCGUGAUGACGAGGCACUACGGUGCUGAAGCAACAAAUGCCCUGCUUCCAGGAAAAGCCUCUAAGCAUCAGGUAACAUCAAAUCGUACCCCAAACCGACACAGGUGGUCAGGUAGAGAAUACCAAGGCGCUUGAGAGAACUCGGGUGAAGGAACUAGGCAAAAUGGUGCCGUAACUUCGGGAGAAGGCACGCUGAUAUGUAGGUGAAGCGACUUGCUCGUGGAGCUGAAAUCAGUCGAAGAUACCAGCUGGCUGCAACUGUUUAUUAAAAACACAGCACUGUGCAAACACGAAAGUGGACGUAUACGGUGUGACGCCUGCCCGGUGCCGGAAGGUUAAUUGAUGGGGUUAGCGCAAGCGAAGCUCUUGAUCGAAGCCCCGGUAAACGGCGGCCGUAACUAUAACGGUCCUAAGGUAGCGAAAUUCCUUGUCGGGUAAGUUCCGACCUGCACGAAUGGCGUAAUGAUGGCCAGGCUGUCUCCACCCGAGACUCAGUGAAAUUGAACUCGCUGUGAAGAUGCAGUGUACCCGCGGCAAGACGGAAAGACCCCGUGAACCUUUACUAUAGCUUGACACUGAACAUUGAGCCUUGAUGUGUAGGAUAGGUGGGAGGCUUUGAAGUGUGGACGCCAGUCUGCAUGGAGCCGACCUUGAAAUACCACCCUUUAAUGUUUGAUGUUCUAACGUUGACCCGUAAUCCGGGUUGCGGACAGUGUCUGGUGGGUAGUUUGACUGGGGCGGUCUCCUCCUAAAGAGUAACGGAGGAGCACGAAGGUUGGCUAAUCCUGGUCGGACAUCAGGAGGUUAGUGCAAUGGCAUAAGCCAGCUUGACUGCGAGCGUGACGGCGCGAGCAGGUGCGAAAGCAGGUCAUAGUGAUCCGGUGGUUCUGAAUGGAAGGGCCAUCGCUCAACGGAUAAAAGGUACUCCGGGGAUAACAGGCUGAUACCGCCCAAGAGUUCAUAUCGACGGCGGUGUUUGGCACCUCGAUGUCGGCUCAUCACAUCCUGGGGCUGAAGUAGGUCCCAAGGGUAUGGCUGUUCGCCAUUUAAAGUGGUACGCGAGCUGGGUUUAGAACGUCGUGAGACAGUUCGGUCCCUAUCUGCCGUGGGCGCUGGAGAACUGAGGGGGGCUGCUCCUAGUACGAGAGGACCGGAGUGGACGCAUCACUGGUGUUCGGGUUGUCAUGCCAAUGGCACUGCCCGGUAGCUAAAUGCGGAAGAGAUAAGUGCUGAAAGCAUCUAAGCACGAAACUUGCCCCGAGAUGAGUUCUCCCUGACUCCUUGAGAGUCCUGAAGGAACGUUGAAGACGACGACGUUGAUAGGCCGGGUGUGUAAGCGCAGCGAUGCGUUGAGCUAACCGGUACUAAUGAACCGUGAGGCUUAACCUU
rnacentral:rRNA from 1 species